GCUUCCCAAGCCUGAAUUGCCUUCACUGCCCAAGGUUGAGCUUCCACCAUUACCUGAAGUCCCAGCCUUUCCUAAACCCGAAGUUCCCAUAUUGCCAAAACCUGAAUUGCCUGAGUUACCAAAGCCUGAAAUUCCCACUCUUCCAAAACCUAAAUUGCCUGAGUUACCAAAGCCUGAACUGCCAACUUUUCCCCACUUGCCUGAGUUGCCAAAACCCUCGUUCCCUACGAAGGACACUAAACCUCCUCA
rnacentral:lncRNA from 1 species